CGCGGGAUGGAGCAGUAUGGUAGCUCGUCGGGCUCAACUCUUAAUAAGAACAAGGCGAAGGUCGUUGCCCAGCCCUUAUAAAAAGUAAUCCAGCUCCCGCAACCA
rnacentral:tRNA from 1 species